AGAGUUUGAUCCUGGCUCAGGAUGAACGCUAGCGGCAGGCUUAACACAUGCAAGUCGAGGGGCAGCAUACCCAGCAAUGGGUGAUGGCGACCGGCGGAAGGGUGCGUAACGCGUGAGCAACAUACCCUAUACAGGGGGAUAAGCCAGGGAAACUUGGUCUAAUAUCCCAUAGGAAAUAGAUAAGGCAUCUUGUUUAUUUUAAAGCUUCGGUGGUAUAGGAUUGGCUCGCGUGACAUUAGCUAGAUGGAGGGGUAACGGCCCACCAUGGCAAUGAUGUCUAGGGGUUCUGAGAGGAAGAUCCCCCACACUGGGACUGAGACACGGCCCAGACUCCUACGGGAGGCAGCAGUGAGGAAUAUUGGACAAUGGAUGGAAAUCUGAUCCAGCCAUGCCGCGUGCAGGAAGACGGCCCUAUGGGUUGUAAACUGCUUUUAUACGGGAGCAAUAAGGUCUAUGCAUAGAUUGAUGAGAGUACCGUAUGAAUAAGCAUCGGCUAACUCCGUGCCAGCAGCCGCGGUAAUACGGAGGAUGCGAGCGUUAUCCGGAUUUAUUGGGUUUAAAGGGUGCGUAGGCGGCUUUGUAAGUCAGCGGUGAAAUUUUGCAGCUUAACUGUAAAAGUGCCGUUGAUACUGUGAAGCUAGGAUUUGGUUGCUGUGGGCGGAAUGUGUGGUGUAGCGGUGAAAUGCAUAGAGAUCACACAGAAUAUCGAUUGCGAAGGCAGCUCACAAAGCCAAUAUUGACGCUGAGGCACGAAAGUGUGGGGAUCAAACAGGAUUAGAUACCCUGGUAGUCCACACUGUAAACGAUGAUAACUCGCUGUCGGCGAUAGACCGUCGGUGGCCAAGCGAAAGCGAUAAGUUAUCCACCUGGGGAGUACGACCGCAAGGUUGAAACUCAAAUGAAUUGACGG
rnacentral:rRNA from 1 species